rnacentral:rRNA from 1 species
GACGAACGCUGGCGGCGUGCUUAACACAUGCAAGUCGAACGGAGUGGCGAACGGGUGAGUAACACGUGGGUGACCUGCCCGGCACUUCGGGAAAAGCCUGGGAAACUGGGUAUAAUACCGGAGAGUGUGGGAUGGGCCCGGGGCCUAUGAGCUUGUUGGCGGGGUAGUGGCCUACCAGGGCGGCGGUGGGUAGCCGGCCUGAGCGGGUGGACGGCCACAAUGGGACUGAGGCACGACCCAGGCGCGUACGGGAGGCAGCGGUGGGAAAUCUGGCACACUGGGGUGCAGCCUGCGGCGACGACGCCGCGUGGGGGAUGACUGCCUUCGGGUUAUAAACUCCUUUCGCCUUAGACGCGGUAGAUGAAGAGGAAGCACCGGCUAACUACGUGCCAGCAGCCGCGGUAAUAC